UACGGGGGGGGCAAGCGUUGUUCGGAAUUACUGGGCGUAAAGGGCUCGUAGGCGGCCAACUAAGUCAGACGUGAAAUCCCCAGGCUCAACCUGGGAACUGCGUCUGAUACUGGAUGGCUUGAAUCCGGGAGAGGGAUGCAGAAUUCCAGGUGUAGCGGUGAAAUGCGUAGAUAUGCGGAGGAACACCGAUGGCGAAGGCAGCCUCCUGGGAUAACACUGACGCUCAUGCACGAAAGCGUGGGGAGCAAACAGG
rnacentral:rRNA from 1 species